rnacentral:rRNA from 1 species
GAUGAACGCUGGCGGCGUGCCUAAUACAUGCAAGUCGAGCGAACUGAUUAGAAGCUUGCUUCUAUGACGUUAGCGGCGGACGGGUGAGUAACACGUGGGCAACCUACCUGUAAGACUGGGAUAACUUCGGGAAACCGAAGCUAAUACCGGAUAGGAUCUUCUCCUUCAUGGGAGAUGAUUGAAAGAUGGUUUCGGCUAUCACUUACAGAUGGGCCCGCGGUGCAUUAGCUAGUUGGUGAGGUAACGGCUCACCAAGGCAACGAUGCAUAGCCGACCUGAGAGGGUGAUCGGCCACACUGGGACUGAGACACGGCCCAGACUCCUACGGGAGCAGCAGUAGGGAAUCUUCGCAAUGGACGAAGUCUGACGGAGCAACGCGCGUGAGUGAUGAAGGCUUUCGGGUCGUAAACUCUGUUGUUAGGGAAGAACAAGUACAAGAGUAACUG